rnacentral:antisense_RNA from 1 species
UACUGCACUGCCAGUCAUCAAAAAGAUUUUUUGGGCUGGGUGUAGUGGCUCACACCUGCAAUCCUAGCAUUCUGGGAUGCCAAGGAGAAUGGAUCAUUUGAGGUCAGGAGUUCAAGAUCAGCCUAGCCGACAUAGUGAAAUGCUGUCUCUACUGAAAAUGCAAAAAUUAGUUGGGCGAGGUGGCGUGUUCCUGUAAUCCCAGCUACUUAGGAGGCUGAAGCAGGAGAAUUGCUUGAACCCAGGAGGCGGAGGUUGCAGUGAGCCGAGAUCAUGCCAAACUCAGUAACUCAGUCUCAAAAGCCAAAGGUGGCUUGUUUUCUAUUCGCAAGCCCUCAACCAUUCAGCAUCUCCACCCUCUUCUGAGGUUCCUCCCAUCUCUCUGAAGCUGUAAUCCCAUCGUCACUUCCUCUGGCAACACGGUGACUGCCUGCCAUGCCCUAACUCCUCCUCGUGCUUUUGGCCUUCGCCUAACAGUUCCUUGGAGUUUCUUCACAGCAUCUGUAGCCAUCUGAAGUGUCAUCUUCUGUACUACAUUGCCAGUGCCUAGAAUUACGUCUGGUACACUCAACCAG